rnacentral:rRNA from 1 species
GACGAACGCUGGCGGCGUGCUUAACACAUGCAAGUCGAACGGACAGGCCCUGCUUUUGUGGGGUGCUCGAGUGGCGAACGGGUGAGUAACACGUGAGUAACCUGCCCUUGACUUUCGGAUAACUUCAGGAAACUGGGGCUCAUACCGGAUAGGAGCUCCUGCUGCAUGGUGGGGGUUGGAAAGAUUCGGCGGUUGGGGAUGGAUUCGAGGCUUAUCCGCUUGUUGGUGGGGUAGUGGCGUACCAAGGCUUUGACGGGUAGGCGGCCUGAGAGGGUGACCGGCCACCUUGGGACUGAGGGACGGCCCAGACUCCUACGGGAGGCAGCAGUGGGGAAUAUUGCACAAUGGGCGGAAGCCUGAUGCAGCAACGCCGCGUGCGUGAUGACGGCCUUCGGGUUGUAAACCGCUUUCUCCUGAGACGAAGCGUGAGUGACGGUAAUGGGUAAAGAAGCACCGGCUAACUACGUG